rnacentral:rRNA from 1 species
GUGAACGCUGGCGGUAGGCUAACCAUGCAAGUCGAACGGCACGCACAGGAGAGCUUGCUCUCUGGGUGGCGAGUGGCGGACGGGUGAGGAAUACAUCGGAAUCUACUCUGUCGUGGGGGAUAACGUAAGGGAAACUUACGCUAAUACCGCAUACGACCUACGGGUGAAAGCAGGGGACCUUCGGGCCUUGCGCGAUUGAAUGAGCCGAUGUCGGAUUAGCUAGUUGGCGGGGUAAAGGCCCACCAAGGCGACGAUCCGUAGCUGGUCUGAGAGGAUGAUCAGCCACACUGGAACUGAGACACGGUCCAACUCCUACGGGAAGGCAGAGUGGGGAAUAUUGGGCAUGGGCGCAAGCCUGAUCCAGCCAUACCGCGUGGGUUAAAAAAGGCCUUCGGGUUUGUAAAGCCCUUUUUUUGGAAAGAAUCCAGCUGUAUACCCGUGGGAUGCGGUUCCCAA